UUUGUCUUUAAAACGAAGAAGAAAAAGUAGGUUCUGGGGAUGGAGCUUGAGUGGAGCUGAGGGGCCAAGGAGGAGGGGAGGCAGUGGCUCAGAGGAGAAGCCAGCCUGGGUGGACCCUCUCCCACACUGCACUCAGGAGAAGCCCAGCCGAUUCCCCUCUGUUGGCCGAUGGGCCUGGCUGCCAAGGAGGCCCUGUUCUGGCCAGGUUUAAGUGGAUGAAAGGUCAUCAGCAACCAGGUUUGCUUCACACAACAGAAGCCUUUGGGAGUCUGGGGGAAAGACAGGGAAUUGAAGCCUCAAGCUUUAAAGCAACUGACUUCUAAAGGAAAGGACUCCGUCUGCCCCGGGGGUGUAGGGGGAGAUAGGGAGAAAGAGCAGCUGAAUGCUAGAAAGCCAGAAAGUGCUGAUUCCAAAAACAAAACCCAUACAUCUUAAGUCACAGGGAGAAGGGAGCACUAUUAGCCACUUUCCCUAGCAGCUGCUGAGAUCUGGCAGGUUUGAGCCCCCACGCCUGGAGCAGGAUUUUAAUGUCCUCUCCAAGUAAAACUCUGCCCUGCCCCCUGACCCCUGCCCCCACUGGUUCUGAGACCCCCUGCAGCUGGCUAAGAGUCUGAAAUUGGAGCUCAUUGUGAUUAAAUCUCAAAAUGUGGCUGCCCCAACGU